rnacentral:rRNA from 1 species
CGAACGGCAGCGGGUCCAGCAAUGGAUGCCGGCGAGUGGCGCACGGGUGCGUAACGCGUAUGCAACCUACCCUUAACCGAGACACAACCUUGAGAAAUCGAGGCUAAUAUCUCAUAACACUAUGAAAUGACAUCAUUUUAUAAUUAAAGCUCCGGCGGUUAUAGAUGGGCAUGCGUGACAUUAGCUAGUAGGUGAGGUAACGGCUCACCUAGGCUACGAUGUCUAGGGGUUCUGAGAGGAUGAUCCCCCACACUGGUACUGAGACACGGACCAGACUCCUACGGGAGGCAGCAGUAAGGAAUAUUGGGCAAUGGACGCAAGUCUGACCCAGCCAUGCCGCGUGCAGGAUGACAGCCCUAGUGGUUGUAAACUGCUUUUAUACGGGAAAAAACCCCUGGUCGUGCAUCAGGGCUGAUGGUACCGUAAGAAUAAGGAUUGGCUAACUCCGUGCCAGCAGCCGCGGUAAUACGGAGGAUCCAAGCGUUAUCCGGAUUCAUUGGGUUUAAAGGGUGCGCAGGCGGGAUAAUAAGUUAGUGGUGAAAGCCUACGGCUUAACUGUAGAAUUGCCAUUAAUACUGUUAUUCUUGAGUACAGUUGAAGUGGGCGGAAUGUGUCAUGUAGCGGUGAAAUGCUUAGAUAUGACACAGAACGCCGAUAGCGAAGGUAGCUCACUAAGCUGUAACUGACGCUCAGGCACGAAAGCGUGGGGAGCAAACAGGAUUAGAUACCCUGGUAGUCCACGCUGUAAACGAUGAUUACUCGAUGUUGGCGAUAUACAGUCAGCGUCUAAGCGAAAGCAUUAAGUAAUCCACCUGGGGAGUACGGUCGCAAGAUUGAAACUCAAAGGAAUUGACGGGGGCCCGCACAAGCGGAGGAGCAUGUGGUUUAAUUCGAUGAUACGCGAGGAACCUUACCUAGGCUUAAAUGUAGAGCGCCGUACCGGGAAACCGGUAUUUUCUUACGAACGAUCUACAAGGUGCUGCAUGGUUGUCGUCAGCUCGUGCCGUGAGGUGUUAGGUUAAGUCCUGUAACGAGCGCAACCCCUAUCCUUAGUUGCCAUCAGGUAAUGCUGGGAACUCUAAGGAAACUGCCUACGCAAGUAGUGAGGAAGGUGGGGAUGACGUCAAAUCAGCACGGCCCUUACGCCUAGGGCGACACACGUGCUACAAUGGCCGGUACAGAGGGCAGCUACCUGGUGACAGGAUGCAAAUCUCGAAAGCCGGUCUCAGUUCGGAUCGAAGUCUGCAACCCGACUUCGUGAAGUUGGAUUCGCUAGUAAUCGCACAUCAGCCAUGGCGCGGUGAAUACGUUCCCGGGCCUUGUACACACCGCCCGUCAAGCCAUGGGAGUCGGGGGUACCUAAAGUCGACGACCGAUGAGGAGUUGCCUAGGGUAAAACCGAUGACUGGGGCUAAGUCGUAACAAGGUA